rnacentral:rRNA from 1 species
UGGGGAAUUUUGGACAAUGGGCGCAAGCCUGAUCCAGCCAUGCCGCGUGCGGGAAGAAGGCCUUCGGGUUGUAAACCGCUUUUGUCAGGGAAGAAAUCUUCUGAGUUAAUACCUCGGGAGGAUGACGGUACCUGAAGAAUAAGCACCGGCUAACUACGUGCCAGCAGCCGCGGUAAUACGUAGGGUGCAAGCGUUAAUCGGAAUUACUGGGCGUAAAGCGUGCGCAGGCGGUUUUGUAAGACAGAGGUGAAAUCCCCGGGCUCAACCUGGGAACUGCCUUUGUGACUGCAAGGCUUGAGUGCGGCAGAGGGGGAUGGAAUUCCGCGUGUAGCAGUGAAAUGCGUAGAUAUGCGGAGGAACACCGAUGGCGAAGGCAAUCCCCUGGGCCUGCACUGACGCUCAUGCACGAAAGCGUGGGGAGCAAACAGGAUUAGAUAGCCCUGGUAGUCCACGCCCUAAACGAUGUCAACUGGUUGUUGGGAAGGUUCCUUCUCAGUAACGUAGCUAACGCGUGAAGUUGACCGCCUGGGGAGUACGGCCGCAAGGUUGAAACUUAAAUGAAUUGACGGGGUCAUAGCUGUUU